UUGGUAACUCCUCCUGUAGCUCCUCCGGGGGAUAAUGCCGGUCCCAAGCCCGGGUAAAGGAGGAGGGUCAG
ncrna:Schistosoma mansoni type-P1 twister ribozyme